GAUGGUAAAAAGAAAAUGCAUUGGCGUUCUUGGGAUUGGCCAUCGGCCCCUAAAUCCCUUGGAGGAAUGGGUUUCAAGGAUUUGACACUGUUCAAUUAGGCGAUGUUGGGAAAACAAGGCUGGGGACUGCUGACUGAUCCUGGGUCGCUAUGUGCGCAAGUUUUGAAAGGAAGGUAUUUCCUGUUCGGUGAUUUUUGGAAUGCCGUUUCUCCUUGCCCAGCCUCGGGAACUUGGCGUGCCAUUUUGCAUGGCCGAGACCUGUUGAAGAAGGGUGUCCAAUUGGGUAUUGGGGAUGGAAAAAGUAUCCAUAUUCUCAAGGAUAAUUGGAUUCCCUCUACCCCUCCAACCUUACUUCGGCCCUUAUCUCCUAUCCUAGAGUCUGCCAAGGUUCAUUGCUUGAUCAAUGAGGAUAUUGGGUGUUUGAAUGUGGAUAUUGUGAGAUCUUUCUUCAUAGAGGAGGUAGACAAUGAUAUUGUCCAAAUUCCAAUAAACUUGGCGGGCGGACCGGACUUUGUGCGCUGGCCUUUCACUAGAUUUGGUGAAUACACUGUCCGUUCUGCUUAUAACAUGGCUAGGACGAGCCAUUUCUUGUCUGACCGGAGUGGCAAUGGUGGGGGGCAGCACUCCAGUUGGUCUUUGGAGGAAAAGUUAUGGAAGAAGCUUUGGAAUAUCAAGGCUCCAAACAAGAUGAAAGUGAUGCUCUAG
rnacentral:rRNA from 1 species